UCCCACAGGGGCCUGGGACAACUACAGCAGCGGUGAAGAGAGAGAGAAGGACAGGAUCUAAUAGACAGAAAUAACAGGAUUUGGUGACCAACUGCAACUGAGUAAUGAAAGAGAAGCUGGAGGGGCCACCCGCAGUGGGCACACUUAACUUCCAACUUCGGCUCAGGUUAUGAUCUCACCAUUGGAAAAUCUCUAAGUGUGUCUUAAUGGAGAAAAAAAGAAAGCAUGUUAAGUGGAAGAUAUUUCCGACAACAAUAAAGGAGAGAUCUUAAAUCAGAAGUUUUCAAAGAAAAUCAGUCACAUCUACAACUAAAUGCAGUGGCUUUGUACUGUGUCAACUUAGCUAAGCCAGAAGUUUUGUUUCUCAGAUUUCCUGUCCCUGGGUGCCUCUGGGUCAGGACAGGCCGCUGGAAAAUUUUUCAUGAGGACUGGAAGGCAGAAGUGAAAUACAGCAGCCAUGUUUUCACUGAGAGGUCCAGUACAGUCUUGCUUUGCUCCGGCUCACAUGAGUCAUCACUGACCUGAUCACUCACCUCACCUCGCCGGCUGAGUCACAGCUGGGCCAAGAAUUCCUCCAGCCCCCUGGAGAGCUUGUCUUUCAGCUUCACCCAGUCCUGGUCCACAUGCAUGUGCAACUUCAGGACCAAGUGUGCCACCUUCACAAGAUCACUGGCCUCACUGAAACUGGAGGCUUGGAAGUAGUAAGAUAGAGACGCAGGUACCAGUUUACCGUAAUAAAAUCCAGCUCACCCUCA
rnacentral:lncRNA from 1 species